GGGUCAAUGAUGAGAGCAGAUCUUGGUGAAGACAGAUGAUGACAAAAAAAUUAUGCUCAAUAGGAUUAUGCUGAGGACC